CCUACGGGAGGCAGCAGUGAGGAAUAUUGGUCAAUGGCCGUAAGGCUGAACCAGCCAAGUCGCGUGAAGGAAGAAGGAUCUAUGGUUUGUAAACUUCUUUUAUAGGGGAAUAAAGGUAUCCACGUGUGGAUAUUUGCAUGUACCCUAUGAAUAAGCAUCGGCUAACUCCGUGCCAGCAGCCGCGGUAAUACGGAGGAUGCGAGCGUUAUCCGGAUUUAUUGGGUUUAAAGGGUGCGUAGGCGGGCCUUUAAGCCGGCGGUGAAAUCGCGGGGCUCAACCCCGCCGAGCCGUCGGAACUGGGGGCCUUGAGUGCGGCGGAGGCAUGCGGAAUUCGUGGUGUAGCGGUGAAAUGCUUAGAUAUCACGAAGAACUCCGAUUGCGAAGGCAGCUUACUAAACUGCCACUGACAUUGAUGCUCGAAAGUGUGGGUAUCAAACAGGAUUAGAUACCCCUGUAGUC
rnacentral:rRNA from 1 species